rnacentral:rRNA from 1 species
UACGGAGGGUGCAAGCGUUAUCCGGAUUCACUGGGUUUAAAGGGUGCGUAGGUGGGCAGGUAAGUCAGUGGUGAAAUCCCCGGGCUCAACCCGGGAAAUGCUUCUGAUACUGGCGGACUUGAGGCCAGUAGGGGUCACUAGAACUGACGGUGGAGCGGUGAAAUGCGUAGAUAUCGUCAGGAAUGCCGGUGGUGAAGACGGGUGACUGGGCUGGUUCUGACACUGAGGCACGAAAGCGUGGGGAGCGAACGGG